rnacentral:rRNA from 1 species
GAUGAACGCUGGCGGCGUGCCUAACACAUGCAAGUCGAACGAGGUAUUUUGAUUGAAGUUUUCGGAUGGAUUUCAAGAUACCGAGUGGCGGACGGGUGAGUAACGCGUGGGUAACCUGCCUCAUACAGGGGGAUAACGGUUAGAAAUGACUGCUAAUACCGCAUAAGCGCACAGUACCGCAUGGUACGGUGUGAAAAACUCCGGUGGUAUGAGAUGGACCCGCGUCUGAUUAGCUAGUUGGUGGGGUAACGGCCCACCAAGGCGACGAUCAGUAGCCGACCUGAGAGGGUGAUCGGCCACAUUGGGACUGAGACACGGCCCAGACGCCGACGGGAGGCAGCAGUGGGGGAUAUUGCACAAUGGAGGAAACUCUGAUGCAGCGACGCCGCGUGAGUGAAGAAGUAUUUCGGUAUGUAAAGCUCUAUCAGCGGGGAAGAAAAUGACGGUGCCUGACUAAGAAGCCCCGGCUAACUACGUGCCAGCAGCCGCCGUAA